CAGGCCCAGGGGUGUCCGCAUCCCUCCGUGGAGGAGGAUGCCUCCCACGGGGCUCGAGGCGACUCAGGGUGCAGCCCUUGAGCCACAGGUACUUUAGUCUUCAGCAUGCAGCCCCCCGGCCAGCGCCAGCGCCAGAGCCAGAGCCCAGGCCGGUCCCGGCUGGGAGCGGAGCACCUGCUGGGGGAGCGGAGAGUCGGGAAUCCACGUGCAGACUCCAGUCCAGCGAAGCUGGUGCUUGAGGAUCACCGAUUCAGUGCCGGUUCAGAGAGUCUUGAGCCUUCAGUGCCCCGGGAAGCUCCUGCUAGUUAUCUUUGCCUGGUGGUGCCUGCCGCAACAGCUGCUCCAGUAUUGUCUGACCAGCGUCUCCUCGCCAGCACUCCUAAAACGGUCUUCCAGGAAUUUGUGACCAUUAGACCUCAUCUUCUCUUCGGGUGCCCUGGUGAACAGACGUUCUCCCAGUUCCUGAUGCGCAACCCUUAGAUACCCCUUUCAAGCAGCCCUGACAUCAUUCUCUGGCUUCCGGUUAAAAGGGGCCAUGCUCAUGUUUCUUUCAGCUUCACCGUUUCCUUUCUGGCAUCGACUUGACCACCAAGGCAGGUACAGCAAAUAAAGCAUGAUGGCAACAAUCAAGCUUGUCCCAGUUGAUGCCAAGCCAACAUGUUCCUACACUGCCUUGGGGGGAUUCUGGUCUCUUUGCUUCAUUUUGUUCUGCACUUCUGCUGAGCUUGCCCAUGCAGUGCCUUGCCCUGUCGGCUGUGAGGGUGCUUUUUGUCACACAGACACCUGAUCAUUAGGAACCAGACCUAGACUGACCUGAUUCACUUUGCACAUGGACAGGACCACCUGAUUUCCAGGGGACCACCACAGAGCUUUCAGGUGGAAACAACUAUCUCAUGAUAGUUGAUCUGGCACCCAGUCCCCUGAACCAGCUGUAUCUGUCUGCCUACAGCCUUUGCAACUGCACAUACUACAAAGCAGCUUUCAGGGUCAGCACCUGAUUAAACAAUGCAAGUCCUCUGCUUUUAAUGUAAAAGCACAGUGCCAGGUGAGCCUGUUGGCAAGGGGAGAGAAGCAGGUGCUCUGAGGUUACAAGAUGGCAUUUAUCUUCCAGAGGGAGGAGGAGGUAGGAAGGGAGCCAUCUGUCUGACACCAGGCCUUUCCGUCCACACCCCUGGUGGAUAUCCAGCCGCUGGCAGUGUCCCAAGCAGAAGCAGCAGGAAAGCUCCUGGUUGGCAAUAGAGCCAGAGACAGGUCUCUUCCUUCAGCAGAGGCAAAGGCAGAGACUUCAUGCUUUCACUUGGGAUGUCUCCCUUGAUGGCUUAGCUCAGCAGAGCCACACAGAAAACAAAUAACUUCUACCCAUGUAGUAGUGGAGAAACAACAGGAGAGAGAAGUAACAUUCCUACCACUUGAAGCUGCUUUGCUGUUCUCUAGGGCCUGUGGGUAUCAGUACAGUCACCCAGAGUCAGGACGUGACAUCCAACGACACAGUACCGGAGACAGCUCCCAUGACAAUGGCAUAGGGUACAAGCACAUCUACCUUCCUGUCAAGCCAGUGACUGCACCAGAGUGUAAAGUUAUCCAGGGCAGCUAUAACCAAGCCAGCCUGGGUCCUGGUAGCAGCUUGGCUGUGGCAUUACACUGCUAAUUCACUCUUCUCGGCAGGGUAAAGGAGCCUGCUGAGAAGCUUCUUGCUGCCUAUGGCUAGGCUGCUUGCGGGGCCUGAGCUAACUCAUUUUACACCAGCUCAAUCAUGCUACGCUGUCCUGCAGUCCCUGCAAUCACCAGAGAGAUAUGCAGAGGUGGGAAAAACUAGAGGGGAUGAUUUAAAAAUGAACAGCCCCCCAAGCAAAGGUUCCCUCUAAUGAGAGAAGCAGGAAGACUAGAGACCCUCAGAGACAUACCUGGGUCCUUGUAAUGCUUUAACAUCCCUGGAAGCACCUGGGCCCUGGUUCUUAAAAGUAUUUGACCACCAACUCCUAUACUAUAGCAACAGGCACUGCAGAAACCCCUGAUGUAAUCAGGUGGAGACAGGCACAAAGACAGGCAGGGGGAGACCAAGGUGUGAGCACCACAGAUACACAGACCCCAGAGUGAGGGGAAGGUAAUGGCCCACUACAACUAUUUCCAGCUGACUUUUUAUUGCACAGUUCCCCUAUUUCAUACCUCCCCUGCUGGGUCCUUUCCAUCCUGCUCCAUCCCCAGGAUGCAUUCUGAGCCUAUGCCCUCUGUGAUGCUCUCUCCAUUUUUGUGAUGGCCACAAAGCAGGCCCUCUUAUGCCAAGAGCAAAGCUCUCUGUGCUACCCUGGCCAGAGCCCUCCUCCAGGUGGGGAAGGGAGGGCACAUCUGGCUGGAUUUGCUUUAUGUGCUGCCAAGGUCUUUCAUGCAGCUACACGGACUGCACAGACAGGCAGGAGAGCUAGAAGCAAACAGGAAAAGGCAGUUUCUCUGGCUUUCUAUUUUUAACGCUACAAACAGUUUUAGUGUCAUUAUAUUUAGAAAAAAUAAAACAGAGUGCUUCCUGCCUCCCUUUUCAACACCUUCAGCUAUUUCCGUGCAGAUGUUUCAUGGGGCCAGUGCUGGAGGCAAGGGGAGAGAGGUCUCCUGACUGACAGACGUGUCCCUGUGAGGUGGAGGCUGCCCUAAGAGAAGAUCCACAGACAAGUUACCCUGUGAUUCUUCCUUCUUUACAGUCAGGGCAGGGUCUAAUGAGCUGUCCCUGUCCCCAGGAGUCCCCAAUAAAGAAGUGCAUCUUCCUCCAAGUUUCCAGUGUCCUUGGGAGUCACCAGUAAAGAAAUGCAUCUUCUUCCAGGUUUCCAGCACCAACAGGGUGGGGCAGCUAAAGGGCCUUUCUCUUGUUACUGGAGUGAGGAUGAAGGAUGCACCCAGAUCAUUACAGAUG